AAAAUAUUUAGAAUUACAGGGCUUAAAAAAAGACAGUCAAUUUGUAAAUCAAGAAUAAGCGCUCACUCUUUCAAAAUUGAGACAGACAGAUAUUCAAAAAACACAUAUAAAAAGAUCUAAGCGUAUUUGUUCUAAUUGCUCACUUGGUAAAGUUGAAGAUGGGCUUCAUUUUUUAUUAGAAUGCCCUCUUUAUGAUAUUCAAAGGGACGA
rnacentral:lncRNA from 1 species